GGGUUGUGAGGUUAAGCGACUAAGCGUACACGGUGGAUGCCCUGGCAGUCAGAGGCGAUGAAGGACGUGCUAAUCUGCGAUAAGCGUCGGUGAGGUGAUAUGAACCGUUAUAACCGGCGAUUUCCGAAUGGGGAAACCCAGUGUGUUUCGACACACUAUCAUUAACUGAAUCCAUAGGUUAAUGAGGCGAACCGGGGGAACUGAAACAUCUAAGUACCCCGAGGAAAAGAAAUCAACCGAGAUUCCCCCAGUAGCGGCGAGCGAACGGGGAGGAGCCCAGAGCCUGAAUCAGUGUGUGUGUUAGUGGAAGCGUCUGGAAAGGCGCGCGAUACAGGGUGACAGCCCCGUACACAAAAAUGCACAUACUGUGAGCUCGAUGAGUAGGGCGGGACACGUGGUAUCCUGUCUGAAUAUGGGGGGACCAUCCUCCAAGGCUAAAUACUCCUGACUGACCGAUAGUGAACCAGUACCGUGAGGGAAAGGCGAAAAGAACCCCGGCGAGGGAGUGAAAAGAACCUGAAACCGUGUACGUACAAGCAGUGGGAGCCUCUUAAUGGGGUGACUGCGUACCUUUGUAUAAUGGGUCAGCGACUUAUAUUCUGUAGCAAGGUUAACCGAAUAGGGGAGCCGAAGGAAACCGAGUCUUAACUGGGCGUUAAGUUGCAGGGUAUAGACCCGAAACCCGGUGAUCUAGCCAUGGGCAGGUUGAAGGUUGGGUAACACUAACUGGAGGACCGAACCGACUAAUGUUGAAAAAUUAGCGGAUGACUUGUGGCUGGGGUGAAAGGCCAAUCAAACCGGGAGAUAGCUGGUUCUCCCGAAAGCUAUUUAGGUAGCGCCUCGUGAAUUCAUCUCCGGGGUAGAGCACUGUUUCGGCAAGGGGUCAUCCCGACUUACCAACCCGAUGCAAACUGCGAAUACCGGAGAAUGUUAUCACGGGAGACACACGGCGGGUGCUAACGUCCGUCGUGAAGAGGGAAACAACCCAGACCGCCAGCUAAGGUCCCAAAGUCAUGGUUAAGUGGGAAACGAUGUGGGAAGGCCCAGACAGCCAGGAUGUUGGCUUAGAAGCAGCCAUCAUUUAAAGAAAGCGUAAUAGCUCACUGGUCGAGUCGGCCUGCGCGGAAGAUGUAACGGGGCUAAACCAUGCACCGAAGCUGCGGCAGCGACGUUUAUGCGUUGUUGGGUAGGGGAGCGUUCUGUAAGCCUGCGAAGGUGUACUGUGAGGUAUGCUGGAGGUAUCAGAAGUGCGAAUGCUGACAUAAGUAACGAUAAAGCGGGUGAAAAGCCCGCUCGCCGGAAGACCAAGGGUUCCUGUCCAACGUUAAUCGGGGCAGGGUGAGUCGACCCCUAAGGCGAGGCCGAAAGGCGUAGUCGAUGGGAAACAGGUUAAUAUUCCUGUACUUGGUGUUACUGCGAAGGGGACGGAGAAGGCUAUGUUGGCCGGGCGACGGUUGUCCCGGUUUAAGCGUGUAGGCUGGUUUUCCAGGCAAAUCCGGAAAAUCAAGGCUGAGGCGUGAUGACGAGGCACUACGGUGCUGAAGCAACAAAUGCCCUGCUUCCAGGAAAAGCCUCUAAGCAUCAGGUAACAUCAAAUCGUACCCCAAACCGACACAGGUGGUCAGGUAGAGAAUACCAAGGCGCUUGAGAGAACUCGGGUGAAGGAACUAGGCAAAAUGGUGCCGUAACUUCGGGAGAAGGCACGCUGAUAUGUAGGUGAAGUCCCUCGCGGAUGGAGCUGAAAUCAGUCGAAGAUACCAGCUGGCUGCAACUGUUUAUUAAAAACACAGCACUGUGCAAACACGAAAGUGGACGUAUACGGUGUGACGCCUGCCCGGUGCCGGAAGGUUAAUUGAUGGGGUUAGCGGUAACGCGAAGCUCUUGAUCGAAGCCCCGGUAAACGGCGGCCGUAACUAUAACGGUCCUAAGGUAGCGAAAUUCCUUGUCGGGUAAGUUCCGACCUGCACGAAUGGCGUAAUGAUGGCCAGGCUGUCUCCACCCGAGACUCAGUGAAAUUGAACUCGCUGUGAAGAUGCAGUGUACCCGCGGCAAGACGGAAAGACCCCGUGAACCUUUACUAUAGCUUGACACUGAACAUUGAGCCUUGAUGUGUAGGAUAGGUGGGAGGCUUUGAAGUGUGGACGCCAGUCUGCAUGGAGCCGACCUUGAAAUACCACCCUUUAAUGUUUGAUGUUCUAACGUUGGCCCCUUACCGGGGUUGCGGACAGUGUCUGGUGGGUAGUUUGACUGGGGCGGUCUCCUCCUAAAGAGUAACGGAGGAGCACGAAGGUUGGCUAAUCCUGGUCGGACAUCAGGAGGUUAGUGCAAUGGCAUAAGCCAGCUUGACUGCGAGCGUGACGGCGCGAGCAGGUGCGAAAGCAGGUCAUAGUGAUCCGGUGGUUCUGAAUGGAAGGGCCAUCGCUCAACGGAUAAAAGGUACUCCGGGGAUAACAGGCUGAUACCGCCCAAGAGUUCAUAUCGACGGCGGUGUUUGGCACCUCGAUGUCGGCUCAUCACAUCCACGGGGCUGAAGUAGGUCCCAAGGGUAUGGCUGUUCGCCAUUUAAAGUGGUACGCGAGCUGGGUUUAGAACGUCGUGAGACAGUUCGGUCCCUAUCUGCCGUGGGCGCUGGAGAACUGAGGGGGGCUGCUCCUAGUACGAGAGGACCGGAGUGGACGCAUCACUGGUGUUCGGGUUGUCAUGCCAAUGGCACUGCCCGGUAGCUAAAUGCGGAAGAGAUAAGUGCUGAAAGCAUCUAAGCACGAAACUUGCCCCGAGAUGAGUUCUCCCUGACUCUUUAAGGGUCCUGAAGGAACGUUGAAGACGACGACGUUGAUAGGCCGGGUGUGUAAGCGCAGCGAUGCGUUGAGCUAACCGGUACUAAUGAACCGUGAGGCUUAACCUUACAACGCCGAAG
rnacentral:rRNA from 1 species